rnacentral:rRNA from 1 species
CCUACGGGUGGCAGCAGUGAGGAAUAUUGGUCAAUGGGCGGGAGCCUGAACCAGCCAAGUCGCGUGCAGGAUGACGGCCCUACGGAUUGUAAACCGCUUUUGUAGGGGAGUAAACCUCCCCACGCGUGGCGCUUUGCAAGUACCGGAAGAAUAAGCAUCGGCUAAUUCCGUGCCAGCAGCCGCGGUAAUACGGAGGAUGCGGGCGUUAUCCGGAUUUAUGGGGUUUCAAGGGUGCGUGGGCGCAAGGUCAAGUGUGCGGUAAAAUUUCGAGGCUCAACCUGGUCGUGCCGUGGAAACUGGGGUGCUUGAGUGAGCGGGAAGUAUGCGGAAUGCGUGGUGUAGCGGUGAAAUGCAUAGAUAUGACGAAGAACCCCGAUUGCGAAGGCAGCAUACUGGAGCGGAACUGACGCUGAUGCUCGAAAGUGUGGGUAUCGAACAGGAUUAGAUACCCCUGUAGUC